rnacentral:lncRNA from 1 species
UUCUUUAUAAGUAAAUUGCUAAGUUUAGAUAAGGAUAUAUCAAUAUAAUAAAGUUGAAUGGAACUAGCUAAAAAUCUUAGUUAGGUCUAUACCUAAAACUUUAUAUAUAUAUAUAUAUAGAGAGAGAGAGAGAGAGAGAGAGAGAGAGAGAGAGUUGAGAAAGAAUAAUAUCGAUAGCAAAUGAGCUCCGUUGCCACCCAUUUAUUUUUUUAUGAUGGAGCCUCUAAAUCGACGAUCGGUACUAUUGAAUAUGAUCUAUACCACUUGAAGCAUUUAAAAACUAAAUUUCAAAUUUUUUUUACAUCAUUGGCCUAAUGAUCAAAGGAUUUUAAAAUUUAUAGUUUUAAUGAUCGAUAUAAGACGUUUUUUCAUUUAACGGCGAAAGAUAUCCGUAUCAAUUGAAUUUUGGUUAAAAAAUUCUUUAAACUAUUUAGAACAAGAUCUAUACUCUUGAUCUUGAUAAUAAGACUCUUUAUCAUCACUUUUUAAAAAAUACUUAUUUUCAGCCAUUCAUUUUUGUGUCCACUUGAUAGACAAGAGAAAAAUAUUGAAAAAAUAUAAAAUUUGGUUUCUAGAUACUUCAAGUGGUAUAGAUCAUAUUCAACGAUGUCGAUUGUCGAUUUAGAGGCUCCAUCAUCUAAAACAAAUAAAUGGCAAUAAAACCCAUCUACUAUCGAUAGCAUUCUAGCUUAACUCUCUCUCUCUCUCUAUAUAUAUAUAUAAAGGAGUCUGGCUACUAUACUUUUUAUGAGUAUUGGCUUUCUUAUACUCAUUAGUUUUUGGCCCUUAGAUUUAUUUCAUUGAUCAUUUCCACCUGUUAGAUCAUACUAUUAAACCAACUAUUCACUCAACCCUAGGAGAUCACUAUCAUUCUAAGUGAGAACCAUCAUCCUCUUAACCACACAUUUCAUCAAUCAACGGCUAAAAUUUAUAAGUACAAUCUUAUAAGAGUAUAGUAACCUCAGCCUAUAUAAAGCUAUUUAUAUAGAGGGAGAGUUAACUUUGUAGGCAUGUGAAUAUGUGAUGGGUGACUAGUGAGG